AAUCCAUAGGUUAAUGAGGCGAACCGGGGGAACUGAAACAUCUAAGUACCCCGAGGAAAAGAAAUCAACCGAGAUUCCCCCAGUAGCGGCGAGCGAACGGGGAGGAGCCCAGAGCCUGAAUCAGCAUGUGUGUUAGUGGAAGCGUCUGGAAAGGCGCGCGAUACAGGGUGACAGCCCCGUACACAAAAGCGCAUGUGCUGUGAGCUCGAUGAGUAGGGCGGGACACGUGGUAUCCUGUCUGAAUAUGGGGGGACCAUCCUCCAAGGCUAAAUACUCCUGACUGACCGAUAGUGAACCAGUACCGUGAGGGAAAGGCGAAAAGAACCCCGGCGAGGGGAGUGAAAAAGAACCUGAAACCGUGUACGUACAAGCAGUGGGAGCCCCACCACCAAAGCAUUCUCUGGUGUUGAAGGCCCUGCAAAGCAGCAUCGCGGUGGCGGAGCGUCGUUUGCGACGCCCAACACACAAAACAAGCGGUGAGUGCUUUGGGGUGGGGUGACUGCGUACCUUUUGUAUAAUGGGUCAGCGACUUAUAUUCUGUAGCAAGGUUAACCGUAUAGGGGAGCCGGAGGGAAACCGAGUCUUAAC
rnacentral:rRNA from 1 species